rnacentral:rRNA from 1 species
UAUUAUAUGUUCAAUCUGUGGAUGGCUCAUUAAACCAGUGAUAAUUUGUCAGGUUUACUAUGACGGAUAUCCCAGGCAAAUCUUGGACUAAUACGUGUAACAAUGAUAAGCUCUAACUCUAUCAGGGAGGAGUGUGCUUAUGAAUCGAAAACCAAUGUAUGAACUUGUUCAUGCUUUUGAAUUGAAGAAACAUAACUUCACUGUUCGUGACGAAAGUUGCGACUUGGCUGAUAGGCCACUGCCCCAUCAACUUUAUACUUGGGUAUAGACUAAGUAUGGUUACAACGGGUAACGGGGAAUGAAGGUUUGAUUCCGGAGAGGCAGCCUGAGAAACGGCUACCGGCCCUAAGGGGGACAGCAGGCGCGAAAAUUACCCAAUGCUGACUCAGUGAGGUAGUGACGAUAAAUAACAAUCCGAGUAUUUUUAAUACUUGGAAUUGGAAUGAGAAAACAUUAAAUAACUUAACGAAAUCUAUUGGAGGGCAAGUCUGGUGCCAGCAGCCGCGGUAAUUCCAGCUCCAAUAGCGUAUAUUUAAAUUGCUGUGGUUAAAACGCCCGUAGUUAAACUUGUUGGGGCAAAAGGUGAUAAAGUCAGUUUAAAUGUCUAACAAAGAUAUACUUGUACUUUUAUUUAACCCCCCGAGCAGCAAAUUUUAAGUCUUUUGACUUUGGGUUUGGUUUUAACGCCGUCAACAACUCGGCUGUUAACCAUCCAACUAAAUUACCUCUUGUAGGUGUAGUUAAUAGACAUUUACCUUGAUUUAAUCAAAGCGUUCAAAGCAGGCAUUAAUUGCUCGAAUGUAUUAGCAUGGAAUAAUAUAAGAAGACUUGUGACAAUUUUGUUGGUUUUAAGACCACAAGUAAUGAUUGAUGGGAUAGGUUCGGGACAUUAGUAUUUACUCGCUAGAGGUGAAAUUCUUGGAUUGAGUAAGGACUAUCUACAGCGAAAGCAUCUGUCAGGGACCUAUUCAUCGAUCAAGGACGAAAGUUGGGGGAUCCAAGAUGAUUAGAUACCGUCGUAGUCCUAACCCUAAUCUUUGCCAACUCUGAGUUGGUGAAACAUUUACAAGAUCAUCAUCUCCCCCGAGAAAUCAUAAGUU